rnacentral:rRNA from 1 species
CAUGCAGUCGAGCGGUAACAGAUCCAGCUUGCUGGAUGCUGACGAGCGGCGGACGGGUGAGUAAUGCAUAGGAAUCUGCCCGAUAGUGGGGGAUAACCUGGGGAAACCCAGGCUAAUACCGCAUACGUCCUACGGGAGAAAGGGGGCUCCGGCUCCCGCUAUGGGAUGAGCCUAUGUCGGAUUAGCUAGUUGGUGAGGUAACGGCUCACCAAGGCCACGAUCCGUAGCUGGUCUGAGAGGAUGAUCAGCCACAUCGGGACUGAGACACGGCCCGAACUCCUACGGGAGGCAGCAGUGGGGAAUAUUGGACAAUGGGGGAAACCCUGAUCCAGCCAUGCCGCGUGUGUGAAGAAGGCCCUCGGGUUGUAAAGCACUUUCAGCGAGGAAGAACGCCUAGCGGUUAAUACCCGCUAGGAAAGACAUCACUCGCAGAAGAAGCACCGGCUAACUCCGUGCCAGCAGCCGCGGUAAUACGGAGGGUGCAAGCGUUAAUCGGAAUUACUGGGCGUAAAGCGCGCGUAGGUGGCUUGAUAAGCCGGUUGUGAAAGCCCCGGGCUCAACCUGGGAACGGCAUCCGGAACUGUCAAGCUAGAGUGCAGGAGAGGAAGGUAGAAUUCCCGGUGUAGCGGUGAAAUGCGUAGAGAUCGGGAGGAAUACCAGUGGCGAAGGCGGCCUUCUGGACUGACACUGACACUGAGGUGCGAAAGCGUGGGUAGC